CCUACGGGUGGCAGCAGUCGAGAAUCAUGCACAAUGGGGGAAACCCUGAUGGGGCGACGCCGCGUGGGGGAAUGAAGGUCUGCGGAUUGUAAACCCCUGUCAUGUGGGAGCAAAUUAAAAAGAUAGUACCACAAGAGGAAGAGACGGCUAAAUCGGUGCCAGCAGCCGCGGUAAUACAGAGGUCUUAAGCGUUGUUCGGAAUCACUGGGCGUAAAGUGUGCGUAGGCUGUUUCGUAAGUCGUGUGUGAAAGGCGCGGGCUCAACCCGCGGACGGCACAUGAUACUGGGAGACUAGAGUACUGGUGGGGGAGGCGGAAUUCGCGGUGUAGCAGUGAAAUGCGUAGAUAUCGAGAGGAACACUCGUGGCGAAGGCGGGUUCCUGGACAUUAACUGACGCUGAGGCACGAAGGCCAGGGGAGCGAAAAGGAUUAGAUACCCCAGUAGUC
rnacentral:rRNA from 1 species